UACGUAGGGGGCAAGCGUUGUCCGGAUUUAUUGGGCGUAAAGAGCGUGUAGGCGGCUUUACAGGUCCGUUGUGAAAACUCGAGGCUCAACCUCGAGACGCCGGUGGAAACCGUAAGGCUAGAGUCCGGAAGAGGAGAGUGGAAUUCCUGGUGUAGCGGUGAAAUGCGCAGAUAUCAGGAGGAACACCGGUGGCGAAGGCGGCCUUCUGGACGGUGACUGACGCUGAGGCGCGAAAGCGUGGGGAGCAAACAGG
rnacentral:rRNA from 1 species